ACCUGGCUGGCUCAGUGCGUAGAGCAUGUGACUCUUGAUCUCAGGGUUGUGAGUUCGAGCCCCACAUUGGGUA
rfam:Felis catus isolate Cinnamon breed Abyssinian chromosome X, whole genome shotgun sequence.